rnacentral:rRNA from 1 species
UUCCGCCUACGGGGGGCAGCAGUGGGGAAUAUUGCACAAUGGGGGAAACCCUGAUGCAGCGACGCCGCGUGAGUGAAGAAGUAUUUCGGUAUGUAAAGCUCUAUCAGCAGGAACGAGACAAGACGGUACCUGACUAAGAAGCCCCGGCUAACUACGUGCCAGCAGCCGCGGUAAUACGUAGGGGGCAAGCGUUAUCCGGAAUCACUGGGUGUAAGGGGAGCGUAGACGGCAUGGCAAGCCUGAAGUGAAAGCCCGGGGCUCAACCGCGGGACUGCUUUGGAAACUGUUAAGCUGGAGUGCAGGAG